rnacentral:lncRNA from 1 species
GUCGCGAUUAAUUGUAAAAAUAUUUGGAGUCAUCUUGUUCAUGAUGACGAUAUUUUUGCUAAAUUAAGUAGAUGCAAUAAUAAAUACUUAUCUCAUGUAAUUUUUUUCUUCGUAGCCGAUCUUUUGUUCAGAAAACCUCCCUCAUUAGAUGAGGACUCUUUAGUUCUCUUUUCUGCUUGGCUUUUUAUACAUUAAUUGUGAUGGUCUUAUGACUUUUUGUGAUUCUUGCAUAUUUAAGCUAGAUUUGACUUGAG